GAGAAAGCCGGCGGAGGCGGGUGGCCUGUGGUCUUCAACGGAGAGGACGCAGUACAACAACCUUCCCUUAGGGUGUUCACAUGAGCACCGGUUAAGAGUCCGAGUGUGCCACUCGGCCACAACAUUAAGGGUUCUUUUGAAGACCCUGACCUGGAGUUACACACUGACUUCGGUUCUUUGCGGGAAUGGGACCUGCUCUUGGGGUUCCUUAACUGGCCAUUGUUCAGCACACCAAGGGUUUAGCCUGAGAGUCUGGCUCGAAUUCGGAAGCCUAAGAUCUUGAGGCUGUGGCAGAUCAAGGGUCAGUGUCAUGGCAGGAGACCUGUGUGUCGUGGAGGGAGUCAGGAUAUCUGAUGUGAGCCUGAAGAUCUGAGAUUUUUGUGACCUUCAGGCACAGAGUUCGGAAAAAGCAAUGUAAUGGACUUCUAACAUCGUAAACCAGCAAGUUGUUUGUUAUGUCUGCCUGCUCGCUGGUGAACAAUGGAGCCACCUCCUUUUCCCUUAUUAGGGAGAGAGAGAAUCUGCAGUAUGUCGUAUGCUGGAUGAAACAUGGUCUUUGGGGUAACUGCAGUAAAGCUUGAAAAGGAGUGAAGUUGUAUCAAUGUAACAUUGGUGAAUAUCUGAAGUGUAUUCUAUAAAUCAGACAAAUGACAGGAACUAAUGCCAGUAAUGGGGGUGAAUGAUGCAGAACCACUGAUCAAUGAAAAUUCUCUGUUGCAGUAAGUAUUGAUUUUUCAGACUUGAGCCAUAAAGUGAAGUUGGCAAGGUUUUAAGGAGUCAGAAAGUGAUCCACAUACUGUGGAGCAGUCCAGCCUUAGCAUCUCAGUCUAGUUCAAAUUCAGGUCAUUAGGGAUAUAUAAGAUGUUAAUAGUGCAAGCUCACCAACACAUCUGCUGAUGAAGGGCAAAUGGAGAUGUCUUGGAUUUCUCAUCAUUACUUGAAAUGUAUGUGCAAUGCCCUGGUAAAGGUUUUACUGUUAACAUAAUGGUUUUUCUGAGGAAAUGGUGUUUGGGUUACCGUUGGAGAUGAGGAAUGUGGGCCAUCUAAUGAGGAGAGUGGAACAGGGAGAAGGUUCAGGAGAAGGCUGGGGAAGUGGUUCUGUGACUGGCACCCGUUGUGGGUUUUUGCCACGGAAACCAGUGGCUGUUAACGAGGGGGUAACGGGGCAUAUUUCCAGAGAUGCUCAGCAAAAGGGGGUUUCAUAUGUAAUUUGCCGUUUGUCAUCCCAAGUCUGAAUGUCAUCCUUGCCUAUGUUAAUCAGAAAUAUAAGCAAAAUAUUUAGAAAAUACUUAGCAUUUCAUUCAUGGCCUUUCAUUUUAAUGAAAUGUUAAUUAUCAAUGAGAUUCUUCCUGCCCUGCUGAAUAUUUCCAGCAUUUUUAGUUUUCAUUUCAGAUUUUCAGCUCUGUAGUUUUGUUGGUUUUCUAAAUUAGAGAGGCAGAGGGUUGUUGCUGAUUGGCAGGGUGUGAUGAAUACCUGUAUUUUUCUUGGACUAAGAUAUUCUUUCUUAUUUACUUUUGAGCAGUAGCUGCAACUAGCACUCUACUGAGAUAAUGCUGCUUAAAUGGCAGAAUCAAUUCUGUUCAUCUAGCUGCUUAAUGCACAUAUUAUUCACCAUGCAACAAUUCCAAGAGAGAUAUAGGGAGCAGCAUCAAAAUUAUAAAAAGCCAUUCUGACUGCAAUAAAGCCUCUGGCUCCAUUAAUUGUGAUGGAAUAUAAAGUAUCCUCCUGAAGUCUGGCUGCUCAGGGAAAUUCAAUUUCAUCAUACUUCUAUCUCAUAGGGCAUUUAAGCUGUAGUCCUGACCACUUGGUUCUCAAUCUAAAACAAUUUAAGUGCAGAAUGUUGUGAAGCAAGACUGCGUCAUUGCCCUGAUGUUGUUUUCUCAAUUGAUGUUUCUGUAACUUCCUCCAAAUACAGGUUAAGGAAACCAGCAUCAGCAUCCUCUUCCAGUCCACUAUCGCAGAGCCGAGUCCCUAAUUUCAGUCCAAUGGCCAGGCGAUAUCAUUCAGGUGCCCAAUUCCAGUCUUCUGAAACUGAUAUUCUAUUCCAAGUUUUAAUCUGCCAAGAGAUUAUCUAGUGGAAAGAGAAAAAUGAUUCAAAAACAUUUCAAAACCUUCUUGGAAAAAAUGCAAAUUUACAGUUUUUAUUUUAAUCCACCUAGACCUAUUUUCAACUCAUUUAAAUUAUUUCUCCUCUAGCUAUUUAUAUGCUUUCUUCUUUCUUUUUUUCGUCUAGAAUAUUGAAGUCUUCAUUUUAUUAUUGGUGUUCUUAAAGGCCUCCUGACUGAAAUACGUUCAACUUAUCACACUUAUUUCACUAGAACUAGUGUACAGGAUGCCAUUGUUUUGGAAUGCUGCUUGCCAAUAUUUUCUUUAGGGUAAUUAACAAUGGAUCAAUAAUGUUAGCCUUAGCAGCAAAUACACUAUUACUGUGACUGAAUAAUUGAAAUUGGUUUGUCAUUGUAACAUGCACCAAGAUACAAUGAAAAGUUCUCAUCAGAUCUACUAACUUAUUGCCUGUUACCCCACUGGCGUCUCAGGCAGCAAUGAAGGUCCUUCAUCGCUGAUAGUAUUCAUAGUUUCAUCCUGUCAGUAGCUUCCUCUUGGUUUUCACUACUGUCAGUCAUGCAAGUCCCAGGUGGAGACUUCAGAAUACCAUCACACACAGAUGUAGAAGGAUCUUUCAUUGCUGUUUCUGUAACAAUUUUGUUUUACCAGUCAGGGUUGUUAGCCCUGAGCUGUACCCCUGAACCAGGAUGACCAGUGGACCACUCUUGAUCUAGUAUCUAUUCUUUGACCUGUUUGGCAUGGGUGACCCUACCAAGAACCAAAGCAUAAUACCCUGACUCCAGCCAAUAUAGCUCUUCAUGUCAUUCAGGCAAACAAGGUUGUAGUCCUCUUGGAGGAUCCAGUCUGAUUAUGUCACACAUAAUUGCAUCAACUUUAGUAAAAGGAAAACAAUUAAAAAAAUGGAUUUUCAUAUGGGAAGCAGAUUUGGUCUUUGUAUAUUCACUAAAUGCUUGAUAGUUCUAUAGAAUCAUAUAACACUACAGCACAGAAAACAGGCCAUUUGGCCCUUCUAGUCUGUGCCAAAAAUUUUCUUCUCCUUCUCCUUCCACAUCUUUUCUUCUACUAACAGCUGCAAGGCAGCAGGGCCGGACAGCAUCCCAGGGUGCAUCCUUAAAGUGUGUGCUGAACAGCUGGCUGGUAUGUUUACAGACAUUUUUAAUCUGACCCUCUCCCAAUGCAUAGUGCCCUCCCGUUUCAAAUCAUCCAUCAUUGUCCCUGUACCUAAGAAAACCAAGGUAGCAUGCCUCAAUGUUUGGUGCCCUGUCACACCUCAAUAAUAAGCAAACACUUUGAGAGGCAGGUUAUAGACCAUCUGCAGUAUGCUACCAGCCACACUGGACCCCCUACAAUUCACCUACCAAUGGAACCAGUCUACCAAUGACACCAUAGCUACAGCACUACACACCAUCUUCAGUCACCUGGAGAAGGAAAAUACUUACAUUAGGAUGCUGUUCCCAGACUACAGUUCAGCAUUCAACACCAUCGUUCCCUCCAAACUUGCCAGGAAGCUCAGAGACCUCAGCCUGCACCCCACCUUGUGCAGCUGAAUCUUAGACUUCCUACUGGAUUGUUGAUAGGUCGUAAGGAAGGGCUUCCUCGCCUCUACCCCUCUGACCCUCAACACAGUUGCUCCCCAGGGUUGUGUCCUGAGUCCCCUUCUCGACUCCCUUUACACCCAUGAUUGUGCCGCCACACGCAGCUCCAAUCUGCAGAUCAAAUUUGCAGAAAACAUGACUUUGAUUGGCCUUAUUUCUAGCGGUGAUGAGAUAGCCUACAGAGGAAGGAUUGACACUCUGACACAGUGAUGCCAGGAUAACAACCUCUCCCACAAUGUCCAAAAAUCAAAAGAGCUGAUUGUGGACUACAGGAGGGACGGAGACAGGCUCAGCCCAAUCAACAUUAAUGGGUCUGCAGUUGAGAGGGGGAGUAGUUUCAAGUUCCUCGUUAUACACAUCACUGAUGAUCUCGCCUAGACUGUACACACUGGCUUUGUGGCAAAAAAAAAGCACAACAGCAUAUCUUCCACCUCAGGUGACUGAAGAAGUUCAGCAUGGACCCCCAAAUCCUCAAGGCCUUCUACAAGGGCACCACUGAGAGCAUCCUGACUGGCUGUAUCACCACCUAUAUGGGAACUACACCAACCUUGAUCACUGGGCACUGCAGAGAGUGGUACAGACAACUCAACGCAUCUGUGGAUGUGAUCUUCUCUCCAGUGAGGAGAAUUACAGCAGCAGGUGCAGAAAGAAGGUCUGGAAGAUCAUCAGGGACACCAGUUGCCCCAACCAUAAACUUUCAGCUGCUUCUGUCUGGCAAACACUACUGCAGAAUGAAACCCAGGACUAACAGACAACAAAACAGCUUCUUUCUACAAGUCAUUAGACUUAAAAAUUCACAUGUCUGUACAUUGCAACAGAGUCAUAACACAAAGAUUUUUAUUCACUCACGUUGUGGAAUGGAUAUAAAUAAAUUCUAAAUUCUAUACCUCUGCAACGAUUCUGUAAUUCAAAGCACAAAGGGUAAAUGCAUUAUUCCAUUCCAAACCUGAAAGUUUCUUUGAUCAAUACCACCAAACCACUACUUCCAUUUUUUCUUGAAUAUAUUGUGGCCAAGAAUAUUAAGACUUCAGUUAUCCCAUUUUUAGAAUCAUGGA